UCCCUGGUGGCUCAGAGGUUAAAGCGUCUGCCUGCAUUGCAGGAGACUUGGGUUCGAUCCCUGGGUUGGGAA
rnacentral:tRNA from 1 species